UACGUAGGGUGCAAGCGUUAAUCGGAAUUACUGGGCGUAAAGCGUGCGCAGGCGGCUUUUGCAAAGACAGAUGUGAAAUCCCCCGGGCUUAACUUGGGAACUGCAUUUUGUGACUGCAUGGCUGGAGUGCGGCAGAGGGGGGAUGGAAUUCCGCGUGUAGCAGUGAAAUCGUAGAUAUGCGGAGGAACACCGAUGGCGAAGGCACCUCCUGGGCCAGCACUGACGCUC
rnacentral:rRNA from 1 species